rnacentral:rRNA from 1 species
UAGCCCAAACUUUAAAUGUGUCAAGUUGCAGAGCGUUGCAUUUAUAGGGUUGUAGGACGUUUAGGCUUAGUCUGUGAUAAGCAAAAAAGUUACAAAAUAUUUAUAUAGAAGAAUAAUCUGGAAAGUUUAACCAAAGAAGGUGAUAGUCCUGUAAUUUAAAUGUAAAUAUCUUUUUAAAAUGUUCCUGAGUAGGACGAGGCACGAGAAACCUUGUUUGAAGCUGGGGAGACCACUCUCCAAGGCUAAAUACUAAAAAGCUACCGAUAGAGAAGAGUACCGUGAGGGAAAGGUGAAAAGAACCCCGGGAGGGGAGUGAAAUAGAACUGAAACCGUAGACUUACAAGCAGUCAAAGCCGUGAUUUAUUACGGUGAUGGCGUGCCUUUUGCAUAAUGAACCUGCGAGUUAUCAUGUCUAGCAAGGUUAAAGCAUAGAAGUGCUGGAGCCGAAGCGAAAGCGAGUCUUAAAAGGGCGAUUUAGUUAGAUGUGGUAGACCCGAAGCCGAGUGAUCUAUUUAUGGCCAGGCUGAAGCUUGGGUAAAACCAAGUGGAGGGCCGAACUCUAGUCUGUUUAAAAAGGCAGGGAUGAGCUGUGAAUAGGAGUGAAAGGCUAAACAAACUCGGAGAUAGCUGGUUCUCCCCGAAAUGGAUUUAAGUUCAGCCUUAUUUUAGUUUAAUAGAGGUAGAGCACUAAUUGAGCUAGGGCCUGUCAAAGGGUACCAAACUCAGUUAAACUCCGAAUGCUAUUAAAUGAUGAAUAGGAGUGAGACUAUGGGCGAUAAGGUUCAUAGUCGAGAGGGAAACAACCCAGACCAACAGCUAAGGUCUCAAAAAUGUGUUAAGUGGAAAAGGAGGUUUAGGUACGUAAACAGCCAGGAGGUUGGCUUAGAAGCAGCCAUACCUUUAAAGAGUGCGUAAUAGCUCACUGGUCGAGUACUUAAGCGCCAAUAAUGUAACGGGGCUAAACACAUUACCGAAGCUUUGGAUCUUAACGAAAGUUAAGAUGGUAGGGGAGCGUUCUGUAAGCCAGAGAAGUUAAGCUGGAAAGCUUGAUGGAGGUAUCAGAAGUGAGAAUGCAGGUAUGAGUAACGAAAAAAUGGGUGAGAUCCCCAUUCGCCGAAAACCUAAGGUUUCCUGGGUAAAGGUCGUCUUCCCAGGGUUAGUCGGCCCCUAAGGCAAAGCUGAAAAGUGUAGUCGAUGGGAAACGGGUUAAUAUUCCCGUACCUCUUAUAGUUUCGAUGGAGUGACGCAUGAGGUUAACUACUGCUAGGCGAUGGUUGUCCUAGUUUAAGCAUNNNNNNNNNNNNNNNNNNNNNNNNNNNNNNNNNNNNNNNNNNNNNNNNNNNNNNNNNNNNNNNNNNNNNNNNNNNNNNNNNNNNNNNNNNNNNNNNCGUUAAGGUGAUGAUCUUAAUAGGAAAAUCCGUUAAGAGAACUAAGAUGUGAUGAUGAGUGUUAUUUAGGUAACAUGAAAUGUAGAUAGUCAAGGUGCCAAGAAAUAGCUUCUAAGGUUAGGCUAUAAGGGACCGUACCGCAAACCGACACAGGUAGGUGGGAUGAAAAUUCUAAGGCGCGCGAGAGAAUCCACGUUAAGGAACUCUGCAAAAUACGUACGUAACUUCGGGAUAAGUACGACCUAAGUAAUUAGGUAGCAUAAAAAUGGUCCAAACGACUGUUUACCAAAAACACAGGUCUCUGCAAAUCUGUAAAGAGAAGUAUAGGGACUGACACCUGCCCGGUGCUGGAAGGUUAAGAGGAGAUGUUAGAUUACUCAAAGCAUUGAAUUUAAGCCCCAGUAAACGGCGGCCGUAACUAUAACGGUCCUAAGGUAGCGAAAUUCCUUGUCGGGUAAGUUCCGACCCGCACGAAUGGUGUAACGAUUUGGACGCUGUCUCAACGUGGAGCUCGGUGAAAUUGAAGUAUCGGUGAAGAUGCCGAUUACUUGUGGUUAGACGGAAAGACCCCGUGAACCUUUACUAUAGCUUGGUAUUGAGAUUUGAUUAAAUAUGUGUAGGAUAGGUGGGAGACUUUGAAGCUAUCUCGUUAGGGAUAGUGGAGUCAAUCUUGAAAUACCACCCUUGUUUAAUUAGGUUUCUAACUCAUAGAAAUAUGAGGAGAGUGCCAGGUGGGUAGUUUGACUGGGGCGGUCGCCUCCUAAAGAGUAACGGAGGUGCGCAAAGGUUACCUUAGAGUGGUUGGAAAUCACUCUGUAAGUGUAAAGGCAUAAGGUAGCUUAACUGUAAGACUGACAAGUCGAACAGAUACGAAAGUAGGUCUUAGUGAUCUGGCGGUGGCAAGUGGAAGCGCCGUCACUUAACGAAUAAAAGGUACUCCGGGGAUAACAGGCUUAUCCUUCCCAAGAGUUCACAUCGACGGAAGGGUUUGGCACCUCGAUGUCGGCUCAUCGCAUCCUAGGGCUGGAGCAGGUCCUAAGGGUAUGGCUGUUCGCCAUUUAAAGCGGUACGCGAGCUGGGUUCAGAACGUCGUGAGACAGUUUGGUCCCUAUCUGCCACAAGCGUUGGAUAUUUGAGAGGAGCUAUCUUUAGUACGAGAGGACCGAGAUGGACGAACCUCUAGUGUACCAGUUAUCCUGCCAAGGGUAAGUGCUGGGUAGCUACGUUCGGAUAGGAUAACCGCUGAAAGCAUCUAAGUGGGAAGCCUUCCUCAAGAUGAGAUAUCCUUUAAGGGUCCUGGAAGAAUACCAGGUUGAUAGGUUAGAAGUGUAAGUAUAGUAAUAUAUUCAGCUGACUAAUACUAAUUACCCGUAUCUUUGGCCAU